GAUGAACGCUGGCGGCGUGCCUAAUACAUGCAAGUCGAGCGAACAGACGAGGAGCUUGCUCCUCUGACGUUAGCGGCGGACGGGUGAGUAACACGUGGAUAACCUACCUAUAAGACUGGGAUAACUUCGGGAAACCGGAGCUAAUACCGGAUAAUAUAUUGAACCGCAUGGUUCAAUAGUUAAAGACGGUUUUGCUGUCACUUAUAGAUUGAUCCGCGCCGCAUUAGCUAGUUGGUAAGGUAACGGCUUACCAAGGCGACGAUGCGUAGCCGACCUGAGAGGGUGAUCGGCCACACUGGAACUGAGACACGGUCCAGACUCCUACGGGAGGCAGAAGUAGGGAAUCUUCCGCAAUGGGCGAAAGCCUGACGGAGCAACGCCGCGUGAGUGAUGAAGGUCUUCGGAUCGUAAAACUCUGUUAUUAGGGAAGAACAAAUGUGUAAGUAACUAUGCACGUCUUGACGGUACCUAAUCAGAAAGCCACGGCUAACUACGUG
rnacentral:rRNA from 1 species